GAUGAACGCUGGCGGCGUGCCUAAUACAUGCAAGUCGAGCGAACAGAUGAGGAGCUUGCUCCUCUGACGUUAGCGGCGGACGGGUGAGUAACACGUGGAUAACCUACCUAUAAGACUGGGAUAACUUCGGGAAACCGGAGCUAAUACCGGAUAAUAUAUUGAACCGCAUGGUUCAAUAGUGAAAGACGGUUUUGCUGUCACUUAUAGAUGGAUCCGCGCCGCAUUAGCUAGUUGGUAAGGUAACGGCUUACCAAGGCAACGAUGCGUAGCCGACCUGAGAGGUGGUCGGGCCACCUGGGAACUGGGACACGGCCCAGACCCCUACGGGAGGAAGCGUAAGGGAUUCUUCCGCAAUGGGCGAAAGCUUGCCGGAGCACCGCCGGGUGAGUGAUGAAGGUCUUCGGAUCUUAAAACUCUGUUAUUAGGGAAGAACAAAUGUGUAAGUAACUAUGCACGUCUUGACGGUACCUAAUCAGAAAGCCACGGCUAACUCCGUG
rnacentral:rRNA from 1 species